GACGAACGCUGGCGGCGUGCUUAACACAUGCAAGCCGAACGGUAAGGCCCUUCGGGGUACACGAGUGGCGAACGGGUGAGUAACACGUGGGUGAUCUGCCCUGCACUUCGGGAUAAGCCUGGGAAACUGGGUCUAAUACCGGGUAGGACCACUGCCUGCAUGGGUGGCGGUGGAAAGCUUUUGCGGUGUGGGAUGGGCCCGCGGCCUAUCAGCUUGUUGGUGGGGGGAUGGCCUACCAAGGCGACGACGGGUAGCCGGCCUGAGAGGGUGACCGGCCACACUGGGACUGAGAUACGGCCCAGACUCCUACGGGAGGCAGCAGUGGGGAAUAUUGCGCAAUGGGCGCAAGCCUGAUGCAGCGACGCCGCGUGAGGGAUGACGGCCUUCGGGUUGUAAACCUCUUUCAGCACCGACGAAGCGCAAGUGACGGUAGGUGCAGAAGAAGGACCGGCCAACUACGUGCCAGCCGCCGCGGUAA
rnacentral:rRNA from 1 species